rnacentral:rRNA from 1 species
UGGUUUGAUUCUGGCUCAGGAUGAACGCUGGCGGCAUGCCUAAUACAUGCAAGUCGAACGGAGUGAAGCCUUCGGGUUUCAUUCAGUGGCGAACGGGUGAGUAAUACGCAGGGAACCUGGCCAUGGCAGGGGGAUACACUCUGGAAACGGAGCAUAAGACCCCAUAGGCAGUAAGGCGGCAUCGCCUUGCUGUUAAAGAAAGCUGAAAGGCUUUGGCGAUGGAUGGACCUGCGGUGCAUUAGCUUGUUGGUGAGGCAACGGCUUACCAAGGCGAUGAUGCAUAGCCGGCCUGAGAGGGCGGACGGCCACACUGGGACUGAGACACGGCCCAGACUCCUGCGGGAGGCAGCAGUAGGGAAUUUUCGUCAAUGGGCGCAAGCCUGAACGAGCAAUGCCGCGUGAGUGAGGAAGGUCUUCGGACUGUAAAGCUCUGUUGCCGGGGAAAAAGGGGAAAUGCAGGAAAUGGCAUUUCAUGGAUGGUACCCGGCCAGAAAGCCACGGCUAACUACGUGCCAGCAGCCGCGGUAAUACGUAGGUGGCGAGCGUUAUCCGGAAUGAUUGGGCGUAAAGGGUGCGCAGGCGGUCUGUUAAGUCUGAAGGCAAAGGGAUGAGCUCAACUCAUUUAUGAUUCAGAAACUGGCAGACUUGAGGACAGGAGAGGGCGGUGGAACUCCAUGUGUAGCGGUAAAAUGCGCAGAGAUAUGGAAGAACACCAGUGGCGAAGGCGGCCGCCUGGCCUGUGACUGACGCUGAGGCACGAAAGCGUGGGGAGCAAAUAGGAUUAGAUACCCUAGUAGUCCACGCCGUAAACGAUGAGGAGCAGGUGUUGGGAGUGAAAUCUCAGUGCCGAAGCCAACGCAGUGACUCCUCCGCCUGGGGAGUAUGCACGCAAGUGUGAAACUCAAAGGAAUUGACGGGGGCCCGCACAAGCGGUGGAGUAUGUGGUUUAAUUCGAAGCAACGCGAAGAACCUUACCAGGUUUUGACAUCGGAUGCGAAGGCGCAGAGAUGCGCUGGAGGCUAUCAUCCAGACAGGUGGUGCAUGGUUGUCGUCAGCUCGUGUCGUGAGAUGUUCAGUUAAGUCUGGCAACGAGCGCAACCCCCGUGGUAUGUUACUAACGCAUUUGGGCGAGGACUCAUAUCAGACUGCCGGUGACAAACCGGAGGAAGGCGGGGAUGACGUCAAAUCAUCAUGCCCCUUAUGGCCUGGGCUACACACGUACUACAAUGGCGUCUACAGAGGGAAGCGACCCUGAGAAGGGAAGCGAAACCGGAAAAGGGCGUCCCAGUUCGGAUUGAAGUCUGCAACCCGACUUCAUGAAGAUGGAAUCGCUAGUAAUCGCGGAUCAGCAUGCCGCGGUGAAUACGUUCCCGGGCCUUGUACACACCGCCCGUCAAACCAUGGAAGCCGGCAACGCCCGAAGCCGGUGGCAUAACCUUUUAGGAGUGAGCCGUCGAAGGCGGGGCCGAUGACUGGGGUUAAGUCGUAACAAGGUAGCC